rnacentral:rRNA from 1 species
UACAGAGGUCUCAAGCGUUGUUCGGAUUCAUUGGGCGUAAAGGGUGCGUAGGCGGCGCGGUAAGUCGGGUGUGAAAUCUCGGAGCUUAACUCCGAAACUGCAUUCGAUACUGCCGUACUUGAGGACUGGAGAGGAGACUGGAAUUUACGGUGUAGCGGUGAAAUGCGUAGAUAUCGUAAGGAAGACCAGUGGCGAAGGCGGGUCUCUGGACAGUUCCUGACGCUGAGGAGCGAAAGCGUGGGGAGCGAACAGG